UGCUAUAAUGCAAGUCGAGCGGACCGACGGGAGCUUGCUCCCUUAGGUCAGCGGCGGACGGGUGAGUAACACGUGGGUAACCUGCCUGUAAGACUGGGAUAACUCCGGGAAACCGGGGCUAAUACCGGAUGCUUGAUUGAACCGCAUGGUUCAAUCAUAAAAGGUGGCUUUUAGCUACCACUUGCAGAUGGACCCGCGGCGCAUUAGCUAGUUGGUGAGGUAACGGCUCACCAAGGCGACGAUGCGUAGCCGACCUGAGAGGGUGAUCGGCCACACUGGGACUGAGACACGGCCCAGACUCCUACGGGAGGCAGCAGUAGGGAAUCUUCCGCAAUGGACGAAAGUCUGACGGAGCAACGCCGCGUGAGUGAUGAAGGUUUUCGGAUCGUAAAACUCUGUUGGUAGGGAAGAACAAGUACCGUUCGAAUAGGGCGGCACCUUGACGGUACCUAACCAGAAAGCCACGGCUAACUACGUGCCAGCAGCCGCGGUAAUACGUAGGUGGCAAGCGUUGUCCGGAAUUAUUGGGCGUAAAGCGCGCGCAGGCGGUUUCUUAAGUCUGAUGUGAAAGCCCCCGGCUCAACCGGGGAGGGUCAUUGGAAACUGGGGAACUUGAGUGCAGAAGAAGAGAGUGGAAUUCCACGUGUAGCGGUGAAAUGCGUAGAGAUGUGGAGGAACACCAGUGGCGAAGGCGACUCUCUGGUCUGUAACUGACGCUGAAGCGCGAAAGCGUGGGGAGCGAACAGGAUUAGAUACCCUGGUAGUCCACGCCGUAAACGAUGAGUGCUAAGUGUUAGAGGGUUUCCGCCCUUUAGUGCUGCAGCAAACGCAUUAAGCACUCCGCCUGGGGAGUACGGUCGCAAGACUGAAACUCAAAGGAAUUGACGGGGGCCCGCACAAGCGGUGGAGCAUGUGGUUUAAUUCGAAGCAACGCGAAGAACCUUACCAGGUCUUGACAUCCUCUGACAACCCUAGAGAUAGGGCUUCCCCUUCGGGGGCGGAGUG
rnacentral:rRNA from 1 species